AUGGCUAGGGAAACGGCGCUGCCGUCGUGCUGGGCUGGGCCAUUUGGGGCGUCCUUAGGUCGCUCCCUUUUCUAUCAACGUCAAAUACAGAAGUCGCAGUCUCAGCCGCCGCCACGCCUCUCAUCCAGCACCACUCGGCAACCAAACCAGGACCAGAUCCAAGCAGAUCGCAUGAGCAAGAGGCGAAAGAGGAGCAACCUCGCCGGCCGGCAUCCCCUGCCCCAAUGCCGUCGUGAAGAUGAAUGGCGAGAUUGGCCCAACCUGCCGACGGUACUCGUCGACGACAUCACCGACAGACUUCUCCUCUACGACAUGGCCCGAGCGAGGGACAUUCGCUUCCGCGCCACGUGCAAGGAAUGGAGGAACUGCACCGCUGACCCGAGCGAGGGACGCAAUCAACUGGACCCCCGCUUCCGCCUGCGCCACUAG
rnacentral:rRNA from 1 species